rnacentral:rRNA from 1 species
CCUACGGGGGGCAGCAGUGAGGAAUAUUGGUCAAUGGACGAGAGUCUGAACCAGCCAAGUAGCGUGAAGGAUGACUGCCCUAUGGGUUGUAAACUUCUUUUAUAUGGGAAUAAAAUGUUCCACGUGUGGGAUUUUGUAUGUACCAUAUGAAUAAGGAUCGGCUAACUCCGUGCCAGCAGCCGCGGUAAUACGGAGGAUCCGAGCGUUAUCCGGAUUUAUUGGGUUUAAAGGGAGCGUAGGUGGAUUGUUAAGUCAGUUGUGAAAGUUUGCGGCUCAACCGGAAAAUUGCAGUUGAAACUGGCAGUCUUGAGUACAGUAGAGGUGGGCGGAAUUCGUGGUGUAGCGGUGAAAUGCUUAGAUAUCACGAAGAACUCCGAUUGCGAAGGCAGUUCACUGGACUGCAACUGACACUGAGGCUCGAAAGUGUGGGUAUCAAACAGGAUUAGAUACCCGGGUAGUC